rnacentral:rRNA from 1 species
UACGAACGCUGGCGGCGUGGCUAAGGCAUGCAAGUCGAGCGGACCUUACUGAGGGGUAACCCAAGGUUAGGUCAGCGGCGAACGGGUGAGGAAUACAUGGACAACGUACCCUGGACACGGGGAUAGCGGCGGGCCGCAAGGCUCUAGCGAAAGCGCCGGUAAUACCCGAUGACCCCGCAGGAUCGCAUGGUCCCGCGGGCAAAAGCUCCGACGGUCCAGGAUCGGUUCAUGUCCUAUCAGCUAGUUGGUGAGGUAACGGCUCACCAAGGCGAUGACGGGUAGCGGGCGUGAGAGCGUGGCCCGCACAUCGGGACUGAGACACGGCCCGGACACCUACGGGCGGCUGCAGCAACGAAUAUUCCGCAAUGGACGAAAGUCUGACGGAGCGACGCCGCGUGUAGGAAGAAGUCCCUCGGGAUGUAAACUACUUUUGUGGGUGAGGAAACAAAUGACCAGCCCAAGAAUAAGCACCGGCUAACUCCGUGCCAGCAGCCGCGGUAAUACGGAGGGUGCG